CCAUGUUUGUAUUGGUUAUUAUUAAAGGGCAUCUGUCAGCAGAUCUGUACCUAUGACACUGGCUGACCUGUUGCGUGCGUGCUUGGCAGCAGAAGACAUCUGUGUAGGCCCCAUGUUCACAUGUGCC